rnacentral:tRNA from 1 species
UAAAGUAAUUUAUAAAAAAUAUUGUUUUGCAAAGACAAAAAAGUUCGAUUACCUUUACUUAG